rnacentral:rRNA from 1 species
UACAGAGGGGGCAAGCGUUGUUCGGAAUUACUGGGCGUAAAGGGCGCGUAGGCGGCCUGUUAAGUCGAACGUGAAAUCCCCGGGCUCAACCCGGGAACUGCGUCCGAUACUGGCAGGCUUGAAUCCGGGAGAGGGAUGCGGAAUUCCAGGUGUAGCGGUGAAAUGCGUAGAUAUCUGGAGGAACACCGGUGGCGAAGGCGGUUCUCUGGAACGCAACUGACGGCUGAGACGCGAAAGCGUGGGGAGCAAACAGG